UUCUGGCCACGGCACACACCAGAGUCUCUGGUGUGGGGAGAGGCUUUCAAUUUGGGCUGCAGAGAACGAAGCCCCAAAUCAACCUCAAACCACACACAGGUUUGAACUGAACAUUCAGAUGCCACCUCCCCUCCGAGAGUCUGCACCAGCCUUCGCGCUGCAGGGAAUGAUUAAAGCCACAAACUCUGGGGGAAGAUGGCAGCCAUGCCACCAAGAUAGCUCCCUGUGCCGAGGAACUGAGGCUGCCCACCGAGAACCACCUUAUGAAGAACGGUCAGGAGUCAGUUUCCAGUUCUGUUAGUAGAGCUGGGGGACCCUCGGCCGAGUCUUCCAUCGCUGAGACUCUGUUUGGCUUUGCAAGAUGGUGACGAUGCUGGGCCUACUGGGUAGGAGGUGGACGUUUAGCCGUGGAACUCUCCAAAGCCAACCACAGGUCUGCUGAGAAGAACUGAGGCUGAACCAUGCCACAGCUGUGCAGAAGGAACUUGUCCUGACCUGCGGAUAUGUGCUUCCUGGCCCAGGACAUGUGACCUGACCCCUUUGUGCCCCACUUUCGGCACAUGUGAACAUGUGGGCUGCACGAGACGACCUCAAAGUUGCCGUGAGUCAAAGCCAAUUAUUUAUUUGCUGUAACAAUUAUCAACAGAGGGCUCUCUUCACUCGCUCUCCAGUCUCUUGCCUACAAGAACCCCUAGAAGCCUCCUGUCAUGUCCACCGCCUGGUGGGACCCCAACUGCAGGCCCCUCUGACAUCAUAUAUUGGAUUUCUGGACCUCUGAGAGGCGGCCGUACAGGGGAUUCACUCCAUUUACCUACAACCCCCAGCUUCUCUCUCUCUCCUGGGGUCGUGUUGAUCGGCCCUCAACCUUCCCGCACACUCUCUACCCAGAGAGAGGCCAUUCACUCCAUCAGUUGCUGUAUUUCUGAUCUGCCCAUAUUGGGCAGAAUACUAAUGACAAGCCAGAUCUUUCCUUAAACACUGUUAAGACCUCGAGUGCACAAUGAAACAUAU